AAUGGAAGGCGUUCCAGGAUGAGUGAGAAUAUAUGCGUAUCCCUGGAUCACUUUAUCGGAAGGGAACGGCCACAAUCUUUGCGUCGAACCAGUGUCGUGGUUAUCGAUGAAAGUUACGGCACUUUCCGGUUUGAUUCCGAUCAAUCCCGGCGGCUUCCCGUUAGAAUCUCUCAACCUCCAUAGCUCUCCUUGAACGGCAGCUUGAAGAAUCCCUUUGGUUGUGAAAUCAAACGCUGUGACCGUAUCUCCCCCA
rnacentral:misc_RNA from 1 species